rnacentral:rRNA from 1 species
UACAGAGGUCCCGAGCGUUGUUCGGAUUCAUUGGGCGUAAAGGGUGCGUAGGUGGCGGGGUAAGUCGGAUGUGAAAUCCCGGGGCUCAACCUCGGAACUGCAUUCGAUACUGCUUUGCUUGAGUACUGGAGAGGAGAUUGGAAUUUACGGUGUAGCAUGUGAAAUGCGUAGAUAUCGUAAGGAAGACCAGUGGCGAAGGCGGAUCUCUGGACAGUUACUGACACUGAGGCACGAAGGCCAGGGGAGCAAACGGG